AGAGUUUGAUCAUGGCUCAGAUUGAACGCUGGCGGCGGGCUUAACACAUGCAAGUCGAACGGUAACGGGUUGAAAGCUUGCUUUCAAUGCUGACGAGUGGCGGACGGGUGAGUAAGGCUUGGGGAUCUGGCUUUUGGAGGGGGAUAACCAUUGGAAACGAUGGCUAAUACCGCAUAGAAUCGAGAGAUGAAAGGGGUGGGGAACCACUUGCCAAGGGAUGAACCCAAGUGAGAUUAGGUAGUUGGUGGGGUAAGGGCCUACCAAGCCGACGAUCUCUAGCUGGUCUGAGAGGAUGGCCAGCCACACUGGGACUGAGACACGGCCCAGACUCCUACGGGAGGCAGCAGUGGGGAAUAUUGCGCAAUGGGGGGAACCCUGACGCAGCCAUGCCGCGUGAAUGAAGAAGGCCUUCGGGUUGUAAAGUUCUUUCGGUGGUGAGGAAGGUUAGGAUGUUAAUAGCAUACUGAUUUGACGUUAGCCACAGAAGAAGCACCGG
rnacentral:rRNA from 1 species